GUGCCAGCCGCCGCGGUAAUACGGAGGGUGCAAGCGUUGUCCGGAAUCACUGGGCGUAAAGGGUGCGUAGGCGGAUUAAUAAGUCAGGCGUGAAAGGUUACAGCUUAACUGUAGACUUGCGUUUGAUACUGUUAUUCUUGAAUUAAGAUGAGGUUGGCAGAAUGCUACAUGUAGCGGUGAAAUGCAUAGAUAUGUCGUAGAAUACCGAUUGCGAAGGCAGCCAACCGGACUUAAAUUGACGCUGAGGCACGAAAGCGUGGGGAGCGAACAGGAUUAGAAACCCGAGUAGUCC
rnacentral:rRNA from 1 species